GAUGAAGAACGCAGUGAAAUGCGAUAAGUAAUGUGAAUUGCAGAAUUCAGUGAAUCAUCGAAUCUUUGAACGCACAUUGCGCCCGCCAGUAUUCUGGCGGGCAUGCCUGUUCGAGCGUCAUUACAACCCUCAGGCCCCCGGGCCUGGCGUUGGGGAUCGGCGGAAGCCCCCUGUGGGCACACGCCGUCCCUCAAAUACAGUGGCGGUCCCGCCGCAGCUUCCAUUGCGUAGUAGCUAACACCUCGCAACUGGAGAGCGGCGCGGCCAUGCCGUAAAACACCCAACUUCUGAAUGUUGACCUCGAAUCAGGUAGGAAUACCCGCUGAACUUAAGCAUAUCAUAAGCGGAGGA
rnacentral:misc_RNA from 1 species